CUCUCACUGAGCUAUAGCAGACUUAGGACCUUCACAAGAGAUGUGGGUGAUAGUGCUGCGUCACUAGACUGUAGGCGAAGCUUGUAUUUUGGUUCAUAAUUCCCACGUGUAAGAGCCACCACACAGAGUCCUGUGCAAAAAGUAGAAGCUUUUCUGUUGCCAUCUUGGGUGACUGAACAGCAAGUGACCCUGAAACCCCGGUUUUAGCAUGGCCCAUUAAAAAAAACAAAAAACAAACAAAAAAAAAAACAAAAAAAAAAAAGGGAAUUGACAGCAUCAAGCUGACUUGUGUUAAUGUUGGUUAUGCAUUGGUACUCCAGCCUCAUUUCUCAUCUGUGUGCUCCUCCUGUCUGAUUUAAUUAUUGUUAAAAGAUGAGCCAGUGUGCUAGACAUGCGCAGUACUGUGACAUCAUGGUCUUGCAAAUAAUUGCCUCAGUCCAAACUGGAAACUGGUUCCUGAAGGGAGAAAACACAGAUCCUCAUUAUCCCAUUCGUGGUAAAUUAACACGAAGCUACCCCUGACACUGAAUGUAAAUGGAAUUCAAUCAGGUUCCAACUUUAAACAGCGGGUCUGAGGAGACUUCUUAAAUAUGAAGGUGUUCUGAGAUAGAUGGCACUUACAUCUGAGAAUAUGCUACACGAGCUUUUGGAUUCCCUCAAGAUCUCUUUAUUAUUAGCAGGAUCUCACCUUGAUUUCCAAUUGAAGAUUGAUCAAGUUUUGAAGAACAGUCCCAGUGUUUGUGUACAGAACUUCUUGAUAAGAGCAUGGUGAACAGACUGUUUUGUUGUUCUCCCUUUCAUAUUUUUCUCUCUGUAUCUCCUGUUUUCAGUUUGCUUAAUCUCACCAUAACUUUGGCCAUCAUUUACAUUUUAAGUCCUGUACAGCCAGACAAGGGAUUCCACAGAAAUUAAAUUGGGAGGAGUUUCCUUUUCUACCAGUUUAAAUAUGGAAACUCCAUGAGGGAAAGGAUUUUUUUUUCCACUCAGACUAUGAAUUGAGAACAGUAUUCUUGUGUUUUGCAUCACAGCCAGUAUAAAAUGAUAGUGCCAACAAAUCAUCACUGGAAGGGUAGUGAAUGGUGCAACACAAAGAAUAAAAUCAGGACAAUCUUUCA
rnacentral:lncRNA from 1 species